rnacentral:rRNA from 1 species
AUUGAACGCUGGCGGCAGGCUUAACACAUGCAAGUCGAGCGGAGAUGAGGUGCUUGCACCUUAUCUUAGCGGCGGACGGGUGAGUAAUGCUUAGGAAUCUGCCUAUUAGUGGGGGACAACAUUCCGAAAGGAAUGCUAAUACCGCAUACGUCCUACGGGAGAAAGCAGGGGAUCUUCGGACCUUGCGCUAAUAGAUGAGCCUAAGUCGGAUUAGCUAGUUGGUGGGGUAAAGGCCUACCAAGGCGACGAUCUGUAGCGGGUCUGAGAGGAUGAUCCGCCACACUGGGACUGGGACACGGCCCAGACUCCUACGGGAGGCAGCGGUGGGGAAUAUUGGACAAUGGGGGGAACCCUGAUCCAGCCAUGCCGCGUGUGUGAAGAAGGCCUUAUGGUUGUAAAGCACUUUAAGCGAGGAGGAGGCUACUGAGACUAAUACUCUUGGAUAGUGGACGUUACUCGCAGAAUAAGCACCGGCUAACUCUGUGCCAGCAGCCGCCGUAAAAC